GAGGAAGAACUGCAAACCCAGGCACUACCAAUCCUGUGACAUGCAAGAUUCCUGAGUUGUGCAGUGACACUUGGCAACCGAAAGGAGACCCAAGACUACAGGACUCUCUGAUGGUCUGCUGCUGAACAAUGACCACUGAGAGCAAGCACAGGAAAUGUGGAGCCCAGAGAGACCUGACACACAGCAGGAGAACCUCUCCUAUUCAGCCCUCUUUCGGUCCAUGGGCUCACGAGGGACAGACGGCCUCUCUCUCGUGUGCUUGGAGGAGAAACUAUAUGAAUGAAGUGAGCCAAUGAACUUGCAAGCUCCAGAUCCCGGAGGUGUGAAGUCGUCCAUAGAAAUGCCGCUCUUGUCUGCCCCCUCAGCGUCGGUGGAGGAAGAGGCCUUCUGGUGGUCAGCCUCUGUAGCAGACGCUUGUGCCUCUUCCUGGCCUCUGGCCAAUGGAGCAGCCGGGUCAUCUCCUGGAGUUUUUUCCAGAGACUGACCCUGCUCCUGGCUGACAGCACCUGGGGUGACCUUGGGGGCUGCAUCAUCUUGUGGAGAAGCUCGCUUCAACUUUCGGGACUCAGGCUUGGCCAUCAAGUUAUCACUUGAAGACAGUGAAGAUCCUAUGGUUCCUUUCCCUGUCUCUGCGCUUGUGUGGCCCCUCAUGGCCGCUGUGGUCUUUCUCCUAGCAUGGCCAUGUCCUCCAGCCCCCCUCUUCUUCUCUGACAGGUGGAAAAUAGAGGGUACAGCCGUGGGCUUCAGCAGGCGAUGCUGGUCCUCCAGUCUUUUGGAGAAGCUGUCUUUGGUAAAAUGCUCACUACAGAGGAAUGAAUACUUAGUCGGGGUCCAAUUAUCCCUCUGAACAGCUUUUAACCACUGGAUCAGUCGUUUGGAGUCCUUUAGGGGAAACCUUCAAGACAAAUGACAAAGUACUUAGAAAUAUUGACAUGCAUUCUUCUAAAACUAUCAUCAAUAAAAGCAAAUCAAGUAUUUCUGC
ensembl:antisense Gm10550 predicted gene 10550